rnacentral:lncRNA from 1 species
UCGGCGAUGUAACUCCUGAUGCAAAAGCAUCUAUGGCAAGGAUUAGGAGAUUAUCAGAGCCAAAAACAAGUAGCAGCCCGCAUGUUUCUUCAGUGAAGUCACGGAACUCUGAACCAUCAUCAAAAACAAAAGUAUCAGGUGGGCCUGAAAGCAAAAAAAUAUCAGCAAUUUUAAACCAUGAUAAAAGCAAGAUUGCUUCUCUUCCAGAACUCAAAACUAGAACAACUAAAGCACCUGAUGUUACCCACAGCAAAUCAGGAGGAAAUGAAAUGACACAGAAGGUGAAUGGAAGUACUUCUACUGCCAAGGUUACUGAACCAAAUAGGAACAAGGACAAAGUUUCAGUUCAUAUUGAUGGGGAUGACAAUACAGUAAUUGAGAA